ACGCCGCCAGCCCUGUUCGUCGCCAGGACCCUCCUACACCACUAGACUUGUGCUUUGAAUCCAAGAUUGGAGUACUUCAGAGUGCGCAGCGUGCUAUUUAGCGGAUUCGAGUUCGUUCGGCAAGUAUUUUUGUUUCUCGAAGGUUCCAAGUCGUCGUCCUUUAGGUUCUAAAAUCUACAAAGAGGAAAUUUUGAGUCGAAAUCUCGCGAGUGUUGGUUGAUCAAGUUUCGUUGGGGGACUUAGUUCAGGGGUUUUUGGUUGGAGAUCAUUAGCUUGGUUUAAAAAUUGAAAUUUGAUUUCGAGGUAAGUAAUCUUACUACUGGAACUGCCCACGGGCCAGGCUUUAAUUGUGUAUGCUAGCAUAAUAAGCGUAUGUUAUGGUAAAUGUUAGCAUAUUGAUUGACAGUAUGACCUGAAUCAAAGUAUGUUUUGGCACGAAUUCUGAUUUGUUUACAUACACACCUAAGUACUUGAUCGUUAGUAUGUGAUAGUAUGUGUUUUCAUAUGUUGAUGUCUGAUCUACUGGUGUUGAGGCAUACUUGCAUGUUGUGGAUUUAUGAU